CUCUUCAUCUGUUUCUCUUUCACUGAAACUGUAUUGGAGCAGGUUCUUUUGUUUGCAUGUUCUUGUGGAACUCUUUCAUUCCUUCAGCCUACAUUGGUAUUUCAACACUUUCCUUUGAUUGCAACCACUUGAACAGCAUCACAAAACACAGGAGGUCCCAAUGCUAACGUAAGGACCGGAUAGUUCCAGGCCAUCAGCCCAGUCGUUCACCCCAGGAAUCCUUCAGGUUCUUUUGUUUGCAUGUUCUUGUGGAACUCUUUCAUUCCUUCAGCCUACAUUGGUAUUUCAACACUUUCCUUUGAUUGCAACCACUUGAACAGCAUCACAAAACACAGGAGGUCCCAAUGCUAACGUAAGGUACCUCAGUCUUUCUCUUCUCCCAGGACCGGAUAGUUCCAGGUCCUCAGCCCAGUCGUUCACCCCAGGAAUCCUUCAGGUAGAGAUCAGUCGAGAUGGAGAAAGGUUAUCCCGGGGAUGGUACUUCUGCCCCUCACCCAGGACCUCCCAUGACCUAUGGGGGGACAGCCACGGACCAGGGCCCCCAGCCAGGCUUGUACCCCCAGCCCCCAGGCGGAUACCCUGCCUCCCCUGGUCCUCCACAACCAGGGUUCCAGCCUGGUCCCUACCAGGGAGGUGAGUGUCUACUGGUUCAUAUUGUACUUUAGAAGGCUGGAUUUACUGUAUAUUCUGUGUGUGAGAACCAAGCAUUUUCACAUGAGUUUUUGCAACAAACAAAUACCUCUUAGAAUGUUUGUUUCUAUAUUUUUUUCUUCUUCGCCAUUAUCAACUCCAUCUUAAAGACGACAGGACACACAACAAACUCUUCUAAAAUACACAUGUGGGUCUAUGGAGAUGAAUUGAACGUUCUCUGCCUCUUGUGGCAACUACUGUAGAUAUGAUACAAACAGCCCAAGCCAAGUAAGAACACACAACAACAGCUUGGUUGGUGGUUGUGUCUGUCUGUAUGUCUGUCCUGCUGUUUGGCUACACUGGUGGAGAAUGGAGGCAUUGGAAAUUACCCUAUUUCUUCAGUUCUCCCAAACCAUUCAAGCACUUAUAAAGUAUGAACAUACUGUUUCAAAAGUUCUCCGUGUUCUUUCCCCUUUGAAUCAUAUUGAUUGUGUUGUGGAUUACAGCACAGCAAACACUUACCUCCUUCAAGUACUAUUUUCAACACCACUUUGGAAACACUCCCCUUCAAUGUCAAUAAUGUGUGGUGCCAGAUGUGUGGAAAAACAGUCAAACACCUACGCACACAAUAAACCCUGACCAUUAUAUGUAGCUAUGCACAUUCUAGUAAUUUAUCACAGUACAUACUCUUAUCCAGACACAUGUAAACAAGCUCUUAUCAAGGGAAGAACAUGGGGUGGAACCCAUUGGAACUGGAACCCAUUGGAACUGGAAAUGGGGUGGAACCCAUUGGAACUGGAAAUUAAUUUUACUGGGGGUGAAUUUUGUUGAUGAUAUGGUGCAACUAUCUGAAUGAGUUUGCCCCCAGACCCCCAUUUGUGGGUUAACCCAGUUAAAAUGAUAGUUCAGCGAUGUUACAUAUUUAGACAAUUUUUUUCCUUACCUUGAAAGGAGUCUGAGCAAGCAACCUUCAACAACAGACUGCUUUCGAGGUAAGGAAACAAUAUCUAAAUGAAGGCAAACCGCUAUGUAAAGCUGUAAAACUCCCUUUAAUCAAGUCCAUUUCCACCACUGGGUACAAUCUUAUUCCGCAGUACGUGGUGGUAUAGUAAUAACAUGUUCAUUGCAUUGUGACCACAUUGUGAUUGGUAUCUUACUCUCCUAUUCAAGGUCCCCAAGCAGGUGUGUACACACCUCCACCACAGUACACCUCUGGACCAGGUGGACCGGUGCCAGUCGUGACCCAGGUAAUAAUGACUCCUAGCCUGAUGGAGGUCGGAGGUUCGACCAUGUGUCCCCACUGCCAGCAGCACGUGGUCACCAAGACAGAGACCAACACUGGCCUGCUCACCUGGCUCAUCUGUGGUGGCCUCUUCAUUGUUGGGUGCUGGCCAUGCUGCGCCAUUCCUUUCUGUGUAGACUCCUGUAAAGACGUGAAUCACAGCUGUCCCAACUGCAACAGAAUCAUCCACGUCUACAAACGCAUUUGAUAUUAAUUUGACCUGACUGUACUACCUUUAUCUGAAGGACUGGGACAUGGCACUUCAAUCAAAUCAACAUUUCUGUGAAUGUAUGAGGUUCGUAUUCACUAGGGCAUGUGAUGUUGGAAAAUGUUUUACAACGAAGAAACAAAAACUAAUUCUUAUUGGACAAGUCCAGAUAGUCCCUCCCUUUUUCAGUCCAUUUUCUUCCAUUUGGUGCCUAAUGAAUACAACCCAGGGGUCGCCAAAAGGGUUAUGUCUAUCCUAUAUAGUCCCUGAGCAGGUGGUGAGCUUCCCUCAGCUCCACAAAAUACUACAUAAUAAAUGCCAUUUAGCAGAUGCUUUUAUCCAUUUUUGUAUGGGUUGUCCUAGCAGAAAUUCAAACCCACAAGUGCCAAGCUCCAUCAGGUCCCUGGCUAGACUUGACCCUUGUAGUGACUACCAAAGAGAAUCCUGAUACCAAAGACUGGUAGUAGCUGCGCUAUAGCUGUUUCACUGUAGUUCUGUACUCGUCUGAAGUCCAUGAAAGUAAAGGAACUUCUAAACCACUCUUCUUAUUGUAAUAUUGUUACAUUGAGAUGUAUAUAUCACUUCUUAUUGUAAUAUUGUUACAUUGAGAUGUAUAUAUCACUUCUUAUUGUAAUAUUGUUACAUUGAGAUGUAUAUAUCACCAUCACUUCUUAUUGUAAUAUUGUUACAUUGAGAUGUAUAUAUCACCAUCAUACUUCUUAUUGUAAUAUUGUUACAUUGAGAUGUAUAUAUCACCAUCAUACUUCUUAUUGUAAUAUUGUUACAUUGAGAUGUAUAUAUCACCAUCAUACUUCUUAUUGUAAUAUUGUUACAUUGAGAUGUAUAUAUCACCAUCAUACUUCUUAUUGUAAUAUUGUUACAUUGAGAUGUAUAUAUCACCAUCAUACUUCUUAUUGUAAUAUUGUUACAUUGAGAUGUAUAUAUCACCAUCACUUCUUAUUGUAAUAUUGUUACAUUGAGAUGUAUAUAUCACCAUCACUUCUUAUUGUAAUAUUGUUACAUUGAGAUGUAUAUAUCACCAUCACUUCUUAUUGUAAUAUUGUUACAUUGAGAUGUAUAUAUCACUUCUUAUUGUAAUAUUGUUACAUUGAGAUGUAUAUAUCACCAUCACUUCUUAUUGUAACAUUGUUACAUUGAGAUGUUUUGUUAUUACACUCUUGCAGUCGUUCCCUCACCGAUCCUGUUCUCUUUUUUCCUCUGAACGUUCUACUACUCAUUUGUCAUAAAAGACCAUUGUCAAUAAUUACAAUGGAUCUUAUGGUUGUCUUUUCACUUCCUGUCUAGUUGCUCUGUAAAGCUCUGAUUAAAGUUGACUGUAUUGAA